AUCCAGCUGUAAUCUAUAAUUCAGAGGAUUGAAGAACACAGAGAACUAAGAGAGAUGAGAAUUCUAUAUGAACCUGCACUUUCUGCUCCUGGGAAAUGAAAAGUGUAUUGAGAAGAACUUGAAAGAAAAAAGGUUAGAAUGCAAAAAUUUCAACUAGCACAGCAUUUAUACAGGAUACAGUGGCGAUAAAAGUUGGAUUUUAUUCAUCCAUUGGAAGCCAGAUAUCCACUUUUUCCUUGGAGUUGUUGCACCUAGUGAUUCCCGCCAAGCUUCCUAACAGAAAUUCACGCUUCUGC